ACAGUGGUCAAGAAGAAGUCCAGAUACAACCUUGUCAAGGCCAUCAAAAAGGUUAAAAGGGACUCUAAGCUGGAGGACAAGGUGGAUGUUCGACAACUGCGGCAGGGCUUGAAUACCAUCACUUCC